rnacentral:tRNA from 1 species
AGAUCUGUGGCUCAGCGGCAUGAGCACUGGCACACCAUGCCAGAAAGCGCUGGUUCAAGUACAGCAAGAUCUC